rnacentral:lncRNA from 1 species
AACCCAAAGAAAGGCUGAAGGGGAUGCUAAAGGAGACAAAAUCAAGGUGAAGGAGGAGCCACAGAGAAGAUCUGCAAGGUUGUCUGCUAAACCUGCUCCUCCAAAGCCAGAGCCCAAGCCUAAAAAGACCCCUGCGAAGAAGGGAGAGAAGGUGUCCAAGGGGAGGAAGGGGAAGCCAACACCGGCAAGGAUUCAAAUAACACUGCAGAAAAUAGAUGUCAAAAUAGCCUAGGCACAGAAAGCUGAAGGUGCUGGAGAUGCC